UACGGGGGGAGCAAGCGUUGUUCGGAUUUACUGGGCGUAAAGAGCUCGUAGGCGGUCUGUCGCGUCGAAUGUGAAACCCCGAGGCUCAACCUCGGGUCUGCAUUCGAUACGGGCAGACUAGAGUUCGGUAGGGGAGUCUGGAAUUCCUGGUGUAGCGGUGAAAUGCGCAGAUAUCAGGAGGAACACCGGUGGCGAAGGCGGGACUCUGGGCCGAUACUGACGCUGAGGAGCGAAAGCGUGGGGAGCGAACAGG
rnacentral:rRNA from 1 species